rnacentral:rRNA from 1 species
CCAUCAUUCAGUUGGGCACUCUAGCGAGACUGCCGGUAAUAACCGGAGGAAGGUGGGGAUGACGUCAAAUCAUCAUGCCCCUUAUGACCUGGGCUACACACGUGCUACAAUGGUUGGUACAACGAGUUGCGAGUCGGUGACGGCGAGCUAAUCUCUUAAAGCCAAUCUCAGUUCGGAUUGUAGGCUGCAACUCGCCUACAUGAAGUCGGAAUCGCUAGUAAUCGCGGAUCAGCACGCCGCGGUGAAUACGUUCCCGGGCCUU